rnacentral:rRNA from 1 species
UGAGCAACCUGCCCCUUGCUUUGGGAUAACCCUCGGAAACGGGGGCUAAUACCGGAUGUUUACUGCUGGACGCAUGUCUGGUGGUGGAAAGUUUUUCGGCUGGGGAUGGGCUCGCGGCCUAUCAGCUUGUUGGUGGGGUGAUGGCCUACCAAGGCGACGACGGGUAGCCGGCCUGAGAGGGCGACCGGCCACACUGGGACUGAGACACGGCCCAGACUCCUACGAGAGGCA